rnacentral:rRNA from 1 species
UAAUAGGGGACGUGGGCAGAGAGUCAUGUCCGCAAGGGCCCUAUACAGGUGGUGCAUGGUUGUCGUCAGCUCGUGCCGUGAGAUGUUGGGUUAAGUUCCGCAACGAGCGCAACCCUCGUUCUGUGUUGCCAGCAUUUAGUUGGGGACUCACAGGAGACUGCCGGGGUUAACUCGGAGGAAGGUGGGGAUGACGUCAAAUCAUCAUGCCCCUUAUGUCUUGGGCUGCACGCAUGCUACAAUGGCCGGUACAGAGGGCUGCAAUACCGUAAGGUGGAGCGAAUCCCAAAAAGCCGGUCUCAGUUCGGAUUGAGGUCUGCAACUCGACCUCAUGAAGUUGGAGUUGCUAGUAAUCGUAGAUCAGCAUCGCUACGGUGAAUACGUUCCCGGGCCUUGUACACACCG